CGGGCUGUGGCGCAGUUGGCUAGCGCGCCUGCUUUGGGAGCAGGAGGCCGUGAGUUCAAGUCUCACCAGCCCGACCA
rnacentral:tRNA from 1 species